GCCGGUGUGGUGGAAUAGGCAGACACAAGGGACUUAAAAUCCCUCGCCCUAAAAAGCGUACCGGUUCGACCCCGGUCACCGGCACCA
rnacentral:tRNA from 1 species